GUUCUUAUAGUUGAGACGCCAACGAUGGCUUUUCGGGCCAUAGACCUUGGGUAGAUCCCAAGUAAGAAUC
rnacentral:tRNA from 1 species